AACGAACGCUGGCGGCAGGCUUAACACAUGCAAGUCGAACGCAUGCCUUCGGGCAUGAGUGGCCGACGGGUGAGUAACGCGUGGUAACCUACCCCUUGGUACGGGAUAGCUCCGGGAAACUGGAGAUAAUACCGUAUGUGUCCUGAGGGACAAAGAUUCAUCGCCAAGGGAUGGGCCCGCGUCGGAUUAGCAAGGUGGUGGGGUAACGGCCUACCAAGGCGACGAUCCGUAGCUGGUCGAAGAGGAUGAUCAGCCUAAUUGGGACCGAGACACGGCCCAAAGUCGCACGGGAGGCAGCAGGGGGGAAUAUUGGACAAUGGGCGCAAGCAUGAACCAGCCAUGCCGCGUGAGUGAUGAAGGCCCUAGGGUUGUAAAGCUCUUUCACCGGUGACGAUAAUGACGGUAACCGGAGAAGAAGCCCCGGCUAACUCCGU
rnacentral:rRNA from 1 species